UCUAGUGACCACUUUGGGCCUCACGUCCCUGUCUUUGAUGAUGAUAAGGCAUGAAUUCUAUUUCCUGUUGGUUGGGGACUUUACAAGAGGGAAGUCACGAAUGCUGGUCCAAAGCAGAGGCUCAAGUUAGCGGGUGAAGACAUUUGCCAUUCUGGAUUCAGAGAAGAAUGGGACUAGAGAUAUGCAAUGAAGCCCCUCCUCAUAACGGGGCAGCAUCUGCAUCAACGGUGUACAUGUGAAGCUUCAGGCUGGGCCUCUCUGUGUUUGGAACCUUCUCUAUCUCCAGGAGCCCCUCCACAGAAAAACUCACUUUCUACUUCACCACAAGCAUGUGUCAAAACGUUCAGAACCACAGCUUCACUCUUUCUUCUCUUCCCCCAGUGAAGGGAAAAAGCUGAAUACAUUCAACAACAGAACAAGUUUCAAGAUUCUGCACCUAAGUAAAUAUUUGGAGGGAGAGGCUGACAACCUCUACUUUCCCAAGAUGCCCUUGGUCUGCAUGAGGGUGGUGUUGAGAAUGAGUCACUCGGCGCCUUGGACAGAAAAGCAGUACCGCCUCCUUCAAGGGCAGGGAAGGGAGAGCAUCAGCCGUAAAUUUUGAGUGUUUACCCUCCCUCAAAUUCUGGGAAAGCACGAAGAAAUGGGGUGUUGAGGGUGUCUGGUGAUAAAUUACGGUGACGACCGUCAUACAGUAAGCCCCAAUGUCUAAUAGUGGCUUAGAGAACCUCAGUGCCAUGUGUUCUCAGCUUGGGUUUUAGACUCAUUUCUGAGACAACAACAAAAUAAAUCAAACUCCAUAUUCUCUUCCACACCAGGUGGGUAUUAAAAGCACCCUUAACUGUC